ACACAUGCAAGUCGAGGGGCAGCAUGACCUAGCAAUAGGUUGAUGGCGACCGGCGCACGGGUGAGUAACACGUAUCCAACCUACCGGUUAUUCCGGGAUAGCCUUUCGAAAGAAAGAUUAAUACCGGAUAGUAUAACGAGAAGGCAUCUUUUUGUUAUUAAAGAAUUUCGAUAACCGAUGGGGAUGCGUUCCAUUAGUUUGUUGGCGGGGUAACGGCCCACCAAGACAUCGAUGGAUAGGGGUUCUGAGAGGAAGGUCCCCCACAUUGGAACUGAGACGCGGUCCAAACUCCUACGGGAGGCAGCAGUGAGGAAUAUUGGUCAAUGGACGCGAGUCUGAACCAGCCAAGUAGCGUGAAGGAUGACUGCCCUAUGGGUUGUAAACUUCUUUUAUAUGGGAAUAAAGUGGUCCACGUGUGGAUUUUUGUAUGUACCAUAUGAAUAAGGAUCGGCUAACUCCGUGCCAGCAGCCGCGGUAAUACGGAGGAUCCGAGCGUUAUCCGGAUUUAUUGGGUUUAAAGGGAGCGUAGGCGGAUUGUUAAGUCAGUUGUGAAAGUUUGCGGCUCAACCGUAAAAUUGCAGUUGAUACUGGCAGUCUUGAGUGCAGUAGAGGUGGGCGGAAUUCGUGGUGUGGCGGUGAAAUGCUUAGAUAUCACGAAGAACUCCGAUUGCGAAGGCAGCUCACUGGAGUGUAACUGACGCUGAUGCUCGAAAGUGUGGGUAUCAAACAGGAUUAGAUACCCUGGUAGUCCACACAGUAAACGAUGAAUACUCGCUGUUUGCGAUAUACAGUAAGCGGCCAAGCGAAAGCAUUAAGUAUUCCACCUGGGGAGUACGCCGGCAACGGUGAAACUCAAAGGAA
rnacentral:rRNA from 1 species